rnacentral:rRNA from 1 species
AUUGAACGCUGGCGGCAGGCCUAACACAUGCAAGUCGAGCGCGCGGCGGACGGGUGAGUAAUGUCUGGGAAACUGCCUGAGGGAGGGGGAGAACUACUGUAAACGGUAGCUAAUACCGCAUACAAUAAGGUGUGCCCAGAUGGGAUUAGCUCGUAGGUGGGGUAACGGCUCCCCUAGGCGACGCUCCCUAGCUGGGCUGAGAGGAUGACCAGCCACACUGGAACUGAGACACGGUCCAGACUCCUACGGGAGGCAGCAGUGGGGAAUAUUGCACAAUGGGCGCAAGCCUGAUGCAGCCAUGCCGCGUGUGUGAAGAAGGCCUUCGGGUUGUAAAGCACUUUCAGCGGGGAGGCGUUACCCGCAGAAGAAGCACCGGCUAACUCCGUGCCAGCAGCCGCGGUAAUAC